AUUUUCUAGAAGUUGGACACAAGUGAGCACUUAGGAUAUUUUUGUACUGAUUGACUGCAUCUCUUGAUGGUGCUGCAUCAUCUGACAAGGCUUUGCAGGACAACAGCUUGGUUGAUGUCACAGGGUCAUCACCAGGUUACCACAUCAAUUAUCAUCUUGACAGUGAGGUCAAUACUCAUACAUUAAGCUUGCUGGUUGGCGUGUAUAUAUUGGUUAGAGUCAAGGUGCAGUGUGGCUAUCAGGCUCAGAUGUCAAGAAACGACGGCCAUCUUGUUACAGGCUCAAUCGACGGUUUUACGAAGAAAUAAAAAGUUGGAUUUUCAGGGUYUAAAGUUARCACGUGUUAUGGCGGACGAAGCCGCCAAAAAGUCCAUCAUGUAUUUGCACCCGUUGAAACACAUCCACAACGAACAGCAGCGUGCAACAAAUGAAGAGGUGACAUGCUCAGGGACUGGAUACUAGCAUUUUACACAGGGAUCCCGCAAAAACCGGACUUCUUGGCGAAAAAAUAUUAAAAAUUUGGCAGCUUUCGGGCAAUAUUUUUUGCCCAAAACGUAUAAAAUGGGUAGAAAAGAUCAUUUUAGGACUUUACGGAGGGUAAAAYCCGAGGAAAACCCCUUUUUUAAACGAAAAAGUACAAUAUGUUAAUUAGUCACGUGACAAGUCACGUGACCUYMAAUUUUGUGAUUUUGGGGUUGGUUUUUCACUUUUUUUUAGACAAAAAA